GUUCGAUUCGGUUUGGUUUUCAUUAUAGGCGGGUUGAGAUGUUCUCGAGCAAGAACCGGACCGGUUUUGGUUCAAGAAACUUGUGCAAUCUACCGAGGUUCCGGUUUUCUUCGUUGAUUUCUUCUCUGGUACUGGUACUGCCAUAGAGAAGAGGUGACGGCAACAGCGGCUGCGAGAAGGAAGAGGAGAAGCGUCAAGGUGGCCACAUGGAGUUUUCCGGUGACCGGACGGUACGUUUUAAAGUAGGAGCCCAGAGAAGUGAGAGCUCGGGCUUUGGAGAAGAGAGAUGUCAUUGUUAUGAUAUUUUUUUGGAUACUAAGGGGGAAUCUUUGGAGACUAAGGAAUCUUUUCUUAGUCUACUUUAUUUUUGUUGAUCUCUCUCUCUCUCUCUUGCUUCCAGUCUCUCUUUUUGUGUUUGUUCUCUUAAUUUCGUUUAUUUGAAGUUAAAGAAAAUUUAAGCAGGAAAAGAAAAUGGAAAGAAGAUGCAUGUCUGCGUGAGUUUGACAAGGACACGACAUUGAUGAUGAUGAUAUAAUAGUGGACUUGUUUUACUACACUCUUUGAAUUUUGGAAUUUCAUCUACUAAACUUAUUACUCGAUCGUGUAAAUUACGUCAGUUUCGUAUUAUGAUAAUCAUAUACGACAUUUUAACCGUCG